GUACUCUGGUUUCUCUUCAGAUCGUAUAAAUCUUUCGCCUUUUACUAAAGAUUUCCAUGGAGAGGAACACUAAAGCGCCUGCCCCACUUAGGAGACCUAAAGAGCAACCUCUGGU